UGGGAAGACUCGGUUAGUUUAAUUAAUAAACGCCCAGGGCAUGGUCGGGGUUGGUGUAACACUGUGUGAGGCUGGAAGGUGUUUCAGGGGUUCUAAAAGAGAGUUCACCGUGCCCAACUUCACAGCAGCCCCGGGGGGAACCGUUGUGUCUCAGCUUCAGGGGUGCAGAGCCAGGGAAAGAAACGAGGUGCUACGGUGGAGUUAAAGAAAACAUCUAAAAUCAAGGGCCUAAAGAGGAAAAAACAAACCCAAACUCACCCCAAAAACAGGUUUGCCAGUUUUUUCUCUCUUAAAAAUAGAGACAAAUGUGGACUUGGAGAAUGGCUUUUGGAGACUGUGAUCUGGGUGAGUCUGUGAAAGGAGAUGUUGCUUCAGAAAAAGUAAUGAACCUGUAGCAAAAACAACUUUCAUGAUUUCUCCUGACUGGUUUUUAGCAGUCAUGUUUCUUGUUUCAGGCCCAGCUCCCUUCCUGCAAGACUUGGAGAGGGGAAAGUGAACAGUUGCACACUUUCUGUCUAGCGACAGUCUGUGCACGAGGAAACAGCCAGACCUGUGAGGUUUUACCCUUUUUGAAGGCAGUGAAGAGCAUUCCCUGAUUUCAACUGAAUGGCUUGAGCAGAUUUGCAAGAAAAACCAUGGGAAUGGAACCAGAACAGGAAGAAUCAGUCAAAACCUCUCAAGGAGAAUUAAAAACGUGUCAGUCACUGGGACCUAUACACCCUGGGAUCCUUCUGUAGCAGAAGGAGGUUUGGCAGAACAUGGCACUUACAGCAAUCUGUAUCAGA